UACGGGUGGCGCAAGUGUUAUUCCUCAUUACUGGGCGUAAAGGGUGUGUAGGUGGUCAAAGAAGUUAGAUGUGAAAGGACAUGCAUUUAAAACCAUUUGACUAGAGUGUUCUAAAAGAUUAUGGAACUUUUAAUAAAGGGUUAAAAUCCAUUUGCAUAUUAAAAGGAACGUCAAUGGCGAAGGCAAUAAUCUGUAGAAAUACUGACGCUGAGGCACGAAAGCAUAGGGAGCAAACGGG
rnacentral:rRNA from 1 species